AAAAAAUUCACAACUGAAACAGUAAAUUCAGAACCAAAACAAAUAAUUCACAACUACUUAUAUAAUUCACAACCAGCCCUAGUCCUGAAUUCACAACCAAAAUUAUUACGGUUGUGAAUUCAAGCUGUGAAUAUAUAAUUCACACAAGAACCAAUAAUUGUGAAUUCAUUUACUUUCAACAAAAAAUUAAAACAGUCGUGAAUUGAAACAACUAGUCGUGAAUUCGUAACCCUAGACGUGAAUUGAAGAGCAUUCAUAAACAAUACAUUCGAAAACCUCUAACCAAAAUGUAGAAAUUGAUAAAUAAUAGCAAUAACAUGACAGUAUGAUAAAUAUAACAACAAAUGUAUAACAGUAAACGAAGAUAUCGACGCAACACGAUAAAAAAGGAAAAAAAAUAAAAUAAAAAUUCAAAAAUAUGCAACAACGACGACAAUGGUAACAAACACAACUAUCAACGCCGGAGAAUAAAGAAUAAACUAUGAAACAACAAAACAAAAUCGGAGAAUUGACGAAGUUUAAAGAUUGAACCUUGAAAAAUCAGCGAAAAAUGACGCACCGCAGCUCAAGGUGAAAAACGAAGCGGCAAAGCUCACAGCAAAAAACGACGCAACAGUCGCCAAGAAACAGUUGAACGGCGGCGAAGCUCACGGCGAACGAAGCGCCGC
rnacentral:lncRNA from 1 species